rnacentral:lncRNA from 1 species
GACAUCUCCGUGGUCACUGGACGUUUUCUCUGUCACUGAGUUCCACACAUGAGCUCCCUUCCAAUCUCUGCCUCAUUUCCCAUAACCCCUUGUGUGUCUUCAGUUCUCCAGGUCCUAGGAAAUGCUGCAUGCUCCUACCCCAGGGCCUUUGCACAGGCUGCUUCUGCUGCCUAGGAUGUCCUUCCCCAGGAGUCUUCAGAUACCACAUUCCCAAGGAGGCCCCCUUCAUGACACUUCCCAUAGUCAGAGCCCUGACUGCCCCUUGGCAGAUUUGUGUGUCAACCACACACAGUGGGCUCUUUCAUAGAUGCCACACGAGGAUGGGUAUGUUGCUCAAAGAUGAAAUAGGGCUCUCUUACUGGGUUGGGGGAGAUACUUCUGAAAAGC